rnacentral:lncRNA from 1 species
GGUGGAAAUAUUAUUUUUAAACAGCCAUUUACUCUGAAAAAAUAUGAUUUUGCAUUAAAUUAGUUUUAAAGUUAAGGGAUAUAUAUAAGACCUUUUUAUUAACAAGUUGAUGAGAUGAGCAUUAGUAUACCUAUAGGAAGUUUUUGAAUGAGUGCCAAUUCUGAAUUUACAAAUCAACAUUUCUUCUCUCCAGCUUUCUUUAGCUUGCCCAUGGUGAUGUGAAGAUGAGAAGAAAUAGCAAGGCCCAACCAGUUCUUCAUCUGGAGACAGUUCAACGUUCUGCAAACCAGAUCUUCAGGAAUUUUACUGGGAUAAUUAUCCAAAUAAAUUGCAAGCAUUCUAUCCAAAUGGAGCUCUUUCUGAGAUGAAGAGAAUUCUCAAUGUCAAGAUUUGAACAAGAAGAGAAUGGAAUACACAAUAUGGACAUCCAUAAAAAUUCAUCAGAGAGCAUUUUACUACUGAGCUGCAAAGGGAAAAACUUAAAAUGGAUAUGAAAAGUGAAGAAAGUGAUCAUAGGAGAAAACCAUUUCAGGUGUCUGAUGAUUUGUGAGCCUCAAGUGACUACUCUGUGGAAUCAUCUGUCCUUGCCUUUGAAUUAGCUUUCCCUAGGCCAUGAGUCAACAUUAGUAGUUUAUACAUCCAAAUUGAUGACAAGAGCACCUCAAAGGCAGCAGCCUCAAGGAGCAGCCAUGGCCCCAGACUUGUCGCACGGAUGCAGAAAACUUAAUGGAGGAGGCUGAGGUCAGAAUGGGAAGAGUUUUUAAAAAAUAAAAAGGGGAGCUAAUAUGUGAGGAACUGAUUGCUGUGCAUUAUUUUCCACUGAACAGACCUUCUUUUAACUUCUAAUCUCAAGCACAUAGCAGCUGUUGUUUUCAUAUUAAAGAUCAGUAAGUGUUUGUUGAAUGAAUGUAUAAAUUCUUCCCCAAUCUCUGUUCCAUGUAAUAAGAACUAAGUUAGCAUUCAAUUAUAAAGAGGACUUAGAAAGUCUGCAGACAUUUUUGAUCAAAAAUCCUUUUAACUGUCUUCUUAUGGUUCCCGGUAACACCUAAGCCCAAAAAACUCAGGUCAUUUCUUGCCUGUACUGUUGCAAUAGCCUCAUAAUAACUAGUCUUCUCCUUUAUCAACCACAGUCGUCUCCGCUACACAAAGAAGAGAGGGUGCUAAUCUAAAGUGUAAAUUAUUUUAAAUCAGCACCCUUCUUGUAAUUUCCCAGUGGUUUUUCCUGUCAUAAGAAUAACAUGCAAAAUUCCUUGCUUGCAAAGCCAGGUAUGACCUUGCCCCGUCUACCUUACUGGCAUCGUCUCUCAUGACUCUUCCCCUUUUUCACUCUCCAUCUUGCCUUUUCCCAACCAUGCCUGCUAGUGAGCCUUAGCCCUUGUGUUUUCUCUGCCAGGGAUGCAUGACUGGCUUCUUUACUUUAUUCUGAUCUCUCUGCUCAAAUGUCAUCUUUUUAGAGAUAGCUUUCCUAAACAUCUUUAAAAGUACCCCAUGAACUGUGAAACACCUUUCCUGCUUUUUCUUCAUAGUACUUAUCACUUCCUGAUAUUAUGUUAGACAACAAGCAAAUAAGUAUAUGCUGUUCCCACUAAAAUAUAAGCUCCAUUUGAACAGGAGCCUUGAUUAUUCCUGAGUAUACCCCUAGUGCCCAGAACCUAGUAGGGCUUUAAUAAAUAUUAGAUUCAUUUGUUGAAUGAAAAAAUGAAUGAAUAAUUGAAUAAAGAUAUCCAGGUAGAGUGUCCGGGCAGCCCAACCUAUGUGAAGCCAGUACAAGAAUGUUUCUGUGACAUAGUGAGCGCAAUUAUUCCUCUAAAUGAUGAACUUGCAUGAGUACACAAGGAUAAAAUUAAGCACGUAGUUUAGAUUUCUGCAAGUCUCUUCCUCAGAUUGAGGAAAAACAAAGAAAUUGAGCUUAUUCUCACCUCAUUCUUACAUGAACUAAAUCCAGAAUAAAGCAUCAUUUAAAUACCAAGCACAUCCCUACCUCAGCCACUCAUGGAAUACUUUAUCUGUAAAGGGACAGAUAGAUAGUAAAUAUUUUUGGCUUUGGGGACCGUACAGUCUGUGUCGCCACUACUCAGCACUUCUGUUGAGGUGUGGAAUCAGCCCUAGACAACACAUAAACAAAUGGGUGUGGCUGUGUUCCAAUAAAAUGUUAUUUAUAAAACUAGGAAAUCAGCAGAUUUAGUCCACAGGCUGUAGUUUGCUGACCCUUGAAUUAGAGAGUCUUCCCCAAAUCCUCUUCCCAAGUUAUUGAAAGAAUGCCCAUAGGACCAUAGCUCCCUCACCUGGUUCUUUCAAGAAAUGAGACAAAUUCAGGGAUGGUUGGAGGGUGGAACGCCUACCUGUGACAUGACUAUUGAGCCUGAUUUCUUUCCUUUUAUCUCUUUAAAGUGAGUCAGGUCUUAACUUUAAACUGUCUCUAAAGUGGCAAUAACUGGGCCAUGUCAAAUACUCCCAAUGACAAAAUUUCUUCUUGGAGAAUGAAUGAGGGUUGCAUACAGUGGUGUGUUGGUAAAUGUUUAGCAACUGGCUCUCUUACUGAUUUCUGUAGUGUAAAUUCUCCCAUCCUGGCCAUCUGAAACUACCAAUAUGAUGUCACUUGAUGUAGAGUUGGGAAAAGACAGUCUCUUGAAUAAGUAUGAGCUGGUUCCAGCCCACUGCUGAACACAUAUUUAAAAGCUACAAUAGCUCUGCUCACUGCCAUUGCAGAGUCUGGAGGAAAGAGUAGCAGGCUUGAUAGGAGCAAUUGGCUGAAUAAUCUUUUGCAAUGCCAAUAAAUAAUGAAAAAGUAUAUAAAUAUAACGCUGUAUAGAAAGCUCUCAAGUUCAGUGUUUGGUUAAAAUACAUACUCAGUAAAUGGUAGCUAUUAUUGUCUUAGUUUAAGUUAUUGCAAGCAUUAAAAUUAAAUGUUUAGCUACAGACUCAAUCCAGUUUUAAUGUCAUUGUGUUAAUAAGGCCUCUUAACAUUGAAGCAACAAAGAUAAAGGAAUUUUUUUGUAGCUAUUCACGAUUCUGCCCAGCUCAAGGUAAAGAUAGCAACAAAAUACUCCAACCAGAAUAAAAGAAGUCUCCACUUGACUGCAGCUCUUCGCAACACUUCACAAGGGUCAAGCUGUGUUAGUUUCCUUCAGUGUUAAACAGAAUGCAUCUUAAGAGAAUAGUUCAAUUAUUGAUUGAAUAGUAGGUUCAAGUUGACUAUAAUCCCAACUAAUACACUCUAAGACCAGGGAUGGGCCGACAGAAGGGUAAAGUUUUCCACUCAAGUCUCGAGGCAAACACUCAGAUAGAAGUAGUAAUAUGGAUGCCUUCUAUUAUUUGGUCACAUACAAUACUGUUCCAGCCCAGUUGUGCAAAACUGGUGAAAUAAAAGGCAAAAAUAUUGACAACAGUUUGGGUAACUGGAUUCCAAAAUGGGCAUCCAUCUAAGAGAAAUUAAUGAAAAAAAAGCAUAUGGACCUUGAAAUACAUUAAUACACAGUUUAGGUUUAAACACUCAGUUUUUAUUAGAAAAGACUAACUUAUCCUGUUUUGAACACUACAAAAGUGCUUUCUGAACCAUUUACUCUCAAACCUCCUCCACCCAUUCCCCUCCAUCUAUAACGCUUUCUGCACAUCUGUAAAAGGUAUGACUUAGUGUUUGGUCUGUGAAAUAAGGUUAAAAAGGAAGCAUUUCUUUUUACAUUCUAGCUAAUGUUGAUAUUUUUCUCAUGCUUCUAUUAGCACAUAAUUCAGAUACAUUAGUUUUGAAGUUUUGAAUCUUCUCUGCUUCUUGAGGGCUCUCUGUUCUAGAUCAACAUGAUCUGUGGAACACCAGCCAAGUCCUGGGCAGAACCCUCCCCGUUGUCCAAAUAUUACUGAAUCAGUUGAGUUUUCUCUGUUGUCAAUGAAUUAUUCCACAUGUUUCUUUGGCUACAUUUUUUUUGGCUUUCUGUUCACAGUAAAUAUAGCCUUUGUUUUUAAAAACUUCUAUUAUGAAAAUUCCAAAUAUAUGCAAAUUAGAGAGAAUAGCAUAAUGAACCUCUAUGUGCUUAUCACACAUAUAGGUUCAACUAAUUAAAUUAUAUCAAUUUAUGGCCAAUCUGGUUUCAUUUAUAACAUCAUUCGCUCAUUCCUAACUCCCUGGAUUAUUUGAUUGACAUGUUUCUAAAGUUCCUUUUAAUCUGUAGGUUCCCCCUCUCAUUUAAUCUUUUGCAACUUAUUCAUUGAUGAAACUGGGUUAUUUGUCCUUUAUUGUUUCUCUCAUUCUGAAAUAUGCUGUAAUGUCAUUAACCAUAUUCUUCUUUCCUGUAUUUUCUGUAAGCUUUGAGCUAGGCAGAAAUAUUUUAAUCAGAUUCCUUUUUUUUUCUUUUAGCAAGAUUUCUUCAUAAAUAAUAUUGUAUGUGUUCAUGAAAAUAGAAAUAAAAAUAGAAAUAAAGAAGAAAUAACAGAAAA